rnacentral:rRNA from 1 species
CCCUACGGGGCGCAGCAGGCGCGAAACCUUCACAAUGUGCGAAAGCACGAUGAGGGGAUCCCAAGUGUUGGUUCGUAAGAAUCAACUGUUUCUCCGUCUAAAAAACAGAGAGAGUAAGAACUGGGUAAGACGGGUGCCAGCCGCCGCGGUAAUACCUGCAGUUCAAGUGGUGGCCACUAUUAUUGGGCCUAAAACGUCCGUAGCCGGUUCAGUAAAUGCCUGAGUAAAUUGUGUAGCUUAACUAUACGAAUAUCGGGUAGACUGCUAAACUUGAGACCGGGAGAGGCUAGGGGUACUCCUAGGGUAGAGGUGAAAUUCUGUAAUCCUAGGGGGACCACCAGUGGCGAAGGCGUCUAGCCAGAACGGGUCUGACGGUGAGGGACGAAGCCCUGGGUCACAAACCGGAUUAGAUACCCGGGUAGUCCAGGGUGUAAACGCUGCUCGCUUGAUGUUAGUUGGGCUCCGAGCCCAACUAGUGUCGGAGAGAAGUUGUUAAGCGAGCUGCCUGGGAAGUACGGUCGCAAGGCUGAAACUUAAAGGAAUUGGCGGGGGAGCAC